UGGGGAAUAUUGGACAAUGGGCGCAAGCCUGAUCCAGCAAUGCCGCGUGUGUGAAGAAGGCCUUCGGGUUGUAAAGCACUUUUAUCAGGAGCGAAACGCUGUCGGCUAAUACCCGGCGGAACUGACGGUACCUGAGGAAUAAGCACCGGCUAACUUCGUGCCAGCAGCCGCGGUAAUACGAAGGUGCAAGCGUUAAUCGGAAUACUGGGCGUAAAGCGUGCGUAGGCGGUUUCUUAAGUCUGCUGUGAAAUCCCCGGGCUCAACCUGGGAAUGGCAGUGGAUACUGGGAGGCUAGAGUGUGUCAGAGGGUGGUGGAAUUCCCGGUGUAGCGGUGAAAUGCGUAGAGAUCGGGAGGAACAUCAGUGGCGAAGGCGGCCACCUGGGACAACACUGACGCUGAGGCACGAAAGCGUGGGGAGCAAACAGGAUUAGAUACCCUGGUAGUCCACGCCCUAAACGAUGCGAACUGGAUGUUGGUCUCAACUCGGAGAUCAGUGUCGAAGCUAACGCGUUAAGUUCGCCGCCUGGGGAGUACGGUCGCAAGACUGAAACUCAAAUGAAUUGACGGGGUCAUAGCUGUUUCCUG
rnacentral:rRNA from 1 species